rnacentral:rRNA from 1 species
UACGUAGGGCGCAAGCGUUGUCCGGAAUUAUUGGGCGUAAAGAGCUCGUAGGCGGCUUGUCACGUCGGUUGUGAAAGCCCGGGGCUUAACCCCGGGUCUGCAGUCGAUACGGGCAGGCUAGAGUGUGGUAGGGGAGAUCGGAAUUCCUGGUGUAGCGGUGAAAUGCGCAGAUAUCAGGAAGAACACCGAUGGCGAAGGCAGCUCUCUGGGACGGUACUGACGCUGAGACGCGAAAGCGUGGGGAGCGAACAGG